rnacentral:snoRNA from 1 species
UGGAAUGAUGUUACAAUAAAUAUAUUUGCUACUUCAGAGGGUUCACCCCUAUGAGAUUAAAAUUUAUCACCAAGAUCUCUGACCCA